rfam:Pseudomonas putida CSV86 contig00212, whole genome shotgun sequence.
GGCGCGCCCCUUGCUUAACCCUGCCUAUCAGGCAAUCAACGUCGAUUGCCCCAUUCACGACAAAGGCGCCGU